UAAAACCAAUGGCAACGUUCUGACCAGUGGAGUUUGAAUGGAAGUGAUGAGCAGCGCUACCAGGCCUGGCUCAGCAAAGCCUCCGAAGUCUAAUCCUAGCAUUUUCGCUGCAUCCACUGGAUGAAUGAGGAGAACUGCAAAGACCUACAGGAGAGACAAGACAAAAGAUCUCGGGUGCCUGAGAGACUGCGUGGAGCAGAGACCAUCCACUGACCUACACUUCAAUGUCAAGCCUUGGUGAGCUGUUAGCCGAGUUGCAGUUAAUGGAUGCACUCGAGACAGAUUAAGACUGGGAAACACCUGAAGAUGGAGAGACCCUCGAGGAUAGAGAUACUUCCCUCUAACAAUGAGAUUGGAUCUCGGUCUUAAGUUCCUAAAUCUGCUUCCGCAGUAUGGGAGUGACUUUGAAAGGGAAGCUGAGGACAAGAGCAAGCUUGGCUUGAAUCUCGUGUAUGCGUGUUUAUCACAGAUGAAGAGGUCAUUUUCUCUGGUGGAGCUAUCUGACGUGCAGAAGAGACCUCAGUCACCCCUUGGCUGUAGACUGGCAGUGUUGCCUGCUAGACUGUGGGAUAAGGUCUUUGGUUUUGAUAUAUUGAAGUGAAAAGAAGAAAUAAUUUACUUAUAUCACCUAGUUUUUAGAUAUAGAGAAACCCAAGCUUAAAAGGACAAACAAGGUAACAUAUCUGACAAUGCUUAGCGCGAUGCCUGACACAUAAAAAAGGGUAAGAGGUGCUAGUUCGCCUUUUCUAUACCAAACAUGAAAGCAAAAAUGUCUUCUUUUUUUUUUGAGAUCCUAUAAUAUAAACUCAAGAACAUUGGCCUUAGAAUUAUAUUGCCUUGUGAAUAAUUUCUGCUCGGUACUCACUAGCAGUGUAAUGUCAGGUAAAUUACAUAACCUUCCUGUACCUGGUUUCCUAAAUCAAAAACGAGAAUCCAGUUUUGUAGCACUUUGGAUUAUGCUUGGCAGCAUAAAAAGAAAACCCCAAAUUAUAGUGGUUUAUUUCUUUCUUCUGUGAAAGAAUUACAGAGGGAGACCAUUCAGGGAAUGCAUAGUGUCUUUUAGUAUCAGGAACCAGGUUAUUUCUAUUCUGCGUCUUUAGCAAGGGAUUUCCUUCCUUAAAGUCACAUUAGAACCCAAGGCAGCUGCCAAAGCUCCAGUCAUUUUGCGUACAUUCCAUGCAUCGAGAACCUGAAAUCAAAUUUGGGCUGUCCUUCUAAGUACAAAGGAGAGAAUUGCUAAGGUGUGUAGGUAUCUAAUGGUAACUCUUUUUCAGGGUUUGUGGGAUAAUUAAACAAAAUGAUGUAUAUAAGAUGUCAAGGACCAUACCUGGCACAUGGCAGUUGAGCAUCUAUGUAGUACUUACUAGUGACCAAUAUUACAAAGCAAAUUGGUCACAGUGUCAAGACCUGUAUCUAAGUUCCCAGCUCUUCCCUAUUGUUCAUUCUUCAUGUAUUAAUUAUAUGUUAAUGAGUAAAUGAUGUUAGGGUACUUAGGGGCUUCCACCAGCUACUGAUGUGUGGGCUUUUAAUGGGAUGAACCUCUGCCUGGUCCUCUCUUUCAAGGCCUGGAGGUUUGCAGAUUCAGAAACUUAAUUUUGUAACAUAAUGAUAACAGAUGUGUCUCUUAGAACAGACUCACAGUAAACAAGCCUACAUAGACUUAUUUAAAGUUACUAGCAUGUUGAUUUAUUAACGUACACUGAGAAAUAUAAUUUCCAUAGGAAAGGACUCUGUAAUCUUCGGCCCAUGUAUUCAUUCCCUGUGGUCACCUAAGCAGAAACUAAAUUUUUCCCCACCUCCCAAAGAAAAUCAGAUGACCUUCAACUGGAAAGCGGUAUCCUGUAUCUAGGUCUCCUCUGUUGUGCCAUGCUGGUCAUACUGAUGACUCUCUACAUCUCCUUUCCCUUAUAUUUAUUUUCCCCCUAUCAUUUACAGUCCCCAUUUCCCCUCAAAAACCUAUUAAAUUCACUCCUAAGUCAGUUAUUGCCAAACUUUGCUGAUUAUUUGGUGCUGAAUCCUAUACCUAAAUCCAGGCUCAGGACUUCAGUCUUAAUCUUACUCAGUCUUAAUCUUAAUUUAUACUUGAUAAUGAAUUUCUAGGGACUUCCAGAUUAGUAGCUCAGGAAUCCAGAUAUUUAAAAUUUACCCUGGAUGAUUCUGCUGGACGACUCUUCCUGACCCGCCCUGCUCUAAGGAGUUACUGGUCCAGUCUACAACUUCCGACAUCCUAAUAUAGUCAGUGCACUGGCGUGAGGCUAGGAGUGGUGGGGAACGGAGAGCAAAAAGCUCUCUGAGAGGACGUUUUACCCUGCUGUCUUCUCCCAUCACCCUUUAAUCCCCACGAAAUUCUGAAGGAUCUUUUCCCUCCUGGCCUUGAGAAUUAAUGUUAUAAUGAGCUACUGUUACUCAUUUUGUCUUCAAGGAAGUGACAAUCUAUCAGUACUCACCAGAUUUGCUCAGUGGUUUAAGAUGGGGAAAAUGACUUAUAAGUUAAGUGAGGAGGAGAAGCUUUGGUGGGGCAGAGGAAGAUUGGAUAGAUUGGUUAAGGACCCAGGAAGGCAGUGUUGUAUAAGGUCAGCCUUGACUGGAGGGUAGGGUUUUGACCAGUGACAAAUGAGAAAUAGCAGUCCAGGCCAAGGGAAUACCACGCACCUGGACACAGAGGCCUGACACUGUGGCUUGGUCUCUUUGGGGCUUACACCAGAAGUCUGCUGUGCUCUUUCCCUUGACUGGACUGUAAGGUGGUUCCCCUGAGCCUGGGUGGGGUCCAUAUGGGUACCAGAUGUCGCCUGUGUUGAAAGGUUGGUUUCUAGAACUUUGAGAGCCUGGUUCAAAGCUGCAUCUUGCAAACUAGCAAAGAAAUAAUAGCACAUAGGAAACUGGCUUGACUCUGUCUAAGCCCUGUGGGAGGUGAAAGCUGGAGGUGAAUGGUUUCAUUGUCUCUUAAGUCUUCAGAGACCGCGGAUUGUGUCGAUAUAUAUGUUCUGAUUCGUUAGCAAGGCAGCCGUAAAGAACUAAAAGGACCUCAGAGGCUGUUGUAAGUAUUACAGCUUCUAUUCUCAGUCAUAUGGCAAGAUCCUGGAAGGCUAUGAGCAAAGGAGUGUCAUGACAUGUAGUGAAAGGAAUCUCCCUGGCUUUCAUGCUGGAAAAAUUGGGGGUGGGGGAGGGGAAGAGGAGGAGGGAGGGGAAGAAGCAGAGGUGGGGGCAGAGACCUGUUAGAAGGAGGCUUCUGCUGAAGUCCAGACGAGAGAGGAUGGUGUUUUGAACCAGGUGGAAGUAGACUGGUGUGAAGUGCUCUGAUCCUGUACAUAUUUUGAAUGUAGACUAACUGACCGUGAUUAAGGUAUGAAACAGGAAGGAAGGAAAGAACGGAGCUGAGGGUGCAGUUUUGGCUGAGCAAUUAGAACAGAGUUGACAGCAGAUUGAGCAGAAACAUUUUAGCAUUUUAAUAUCGACUAUAACAGCUAAUGGCUAAUCAUUUUAUAAUUCUUUAGGACGACAAAGGCAUUCAUAUGAUUACAUUAUUUUAUUGUCAGCGCAAUCUUGGGAUGGGCUUGGUGCUAUUAUUAUCCUUAUUUAUAGAAAGUAAAACUCUGGCUCAGGGAAAUUAAAUUUCUUGGCCUCAGAUCGCACAGUUAGUUGGUGAUGAGACUCGAAUUUUAUCCCAGUUCUGCUGGACCCAAAUCCAGGUCACGGUCUGUCUGUUUGCCUUUUAAUUUAAUAAGCACUAUUUAUCCAGUGCUUAUUUGGACUAAAGUACCUCUGCUUUCACACUGUUUUCUCAUACUCUAACCUACGGAACCAAAGCAGCUGACGGCUAACGCCAUUCUGGCCAGAAGCAGACACAGCGGGGACGGUGAGAGGAAAACUUAACUCCACGACCGUGCUUCUCUAAGACACUGGCACACUUAGCCAUGCCUACUUGCGAUCUGAAAGCGCAACUUCUUUUGCAAAUUGCUGAGAUACAGCAGGAGUGCAGUGAAAAGGAGGAGGCAAUGGGGUGUCACGAAGGUAACCCUUACCCCAAGACCAAAAGUUAGAAGACCUAGUUUAAGUUUUAGCAUUUUAGCCUAUUAGCUGUCUGAUUGUGUUCCUGUCAAAAGCUGUUAACAAUCUUAUUUAGGAUGGGGGGGAGGGUAUAGCUCAAGUGGUAGAGUGCAUGCUUAGCAUGCACAAGGUCCUGGGUUCAAUCCUCAGCACCUCCAUUAAGUAAAUAAAUAUAUGAACCUAAUUACCCCUCCCAAAUAAAAACUAAAACAAAUAAAAAUUUAAAAAAUAGAACUACAUUAAAAAUCUUCCUUAGGAUGGAUUUAUUAUUAUUAAAAUUAAUAAUAAUAAUUAACAACUCAUAAAUGGCAUUGAUGACAAACAUUAUUUUGCUUUAGGCACCAUUAAUCCUGCAGAAUCUUACUAACGAGACUUCUGUGACUGUCAGUCAACAGUGUUACUAAACAGAGCUGAGGACUCCUUAAGUCCAUUGCUCUUUGUAGAAAACUUGCCAUACUUAGAACUCUGAAACACUUGGACCAACCCUCUAUUUCUUCCAUUUGCAAGAAUUCUGGAUACAAUUCAUGAACCCUUGAUUUAUUGAAACCUCUAAAAUAAGAAUGUUAGGUAAAAACUUGCUAAGCUUUAUCCUUUCCCUCUUCUUCCUCUCUGCCCAUUCUUUGUCCAGAAAUGAUUUGUCACUUUGGUCAAGGGCAGACACAUGGCAAGGUGAACUUACAUUGCGUUGUUUGCCUGGUUCAGACAGGUGUAUAUUUCCCUGAAUGUCUCUCUUCAUGAUUUGCGUGUCCUUCCUCAGCAGCAGUGUCAGCAAAACCGACUUAAAAUAAAUUAAUCAAAGUGGUCCUGGCGGGGCAAGAAGGGGUAUAAUGGAAUAACCUUGAAAGAAGACCAUUUUCCCUUAGUGUAAAGACACCAUCCCAUGUAGGCUAGCCUAUCUGUUGGCAGAAAGGAUUUUUAGCAUGUUGUCCACAGAUGGAUGAUGCCAGCCAUGACUGCAAUCCCUUGGCCAGGGCUUCUGAGCCAGAAGUGUGUCAGACUCAUUUCUGGAGAAUGCUGAGGGAAACACUGCCACAUACCAUGUCUCACUCCUUUGCUGCUAGUGUUUUCCAAGUUAGCAACUGCAUAAGCAUAUGAUAUUCUCAGUUAAGAACAGUGAGAAAUCAUCUGGGACCAUCCUAAAUUAUUCUCUCUAGGAAAGAAGCUGGAAGGUAGAAAGAUUUUCAAGGCCGAUUCCAAUAUUCUAAAAUCAUUUGAAUCUGAGUGCCUUUCUGACCCUGGCCUGCCAGCUGCUCUGUUCUGCUUCUCCAGAAUCGCAUCCACAAAUGAUUUCGCCGUCGACUGUCAGCAUGGUAAGCAGGAGAGAGGCUGCAGCAAGAGGGCAAAUUCGAUGUGAAUGUCUCUACGGGCUUCUCUGUCACUGCAAGCUGAUGCAACUAUAUGAUGAGCAAGCAGAGGAUCCAGACCACAGAGAAUCAGCGUGCUGGGGCAGAAAGCCCCUGGAAUGGGAGCUAGGAAGUGAGCUCUAGUCUAAUGCACAAGGGCUUUUGUAUGGAUUAAAUGGCAUGAUGUAUGUUCCAAGCCCAGUGACAGUCAUAUAGCAGAUGCUCAAUCCUACCCUUUCUUGGUCCUCGUUCACAAACUAAUUGUGGCAUUGGGCAAAUCAGACACACCCUGCAACCACAUCUCUAGUGGAAAGAUUGCUGAUAAUGCAAAGAGUGUACAUUUAGACACCAUGUUGCCAAGCACUAUGCUGGGUGUUUAACAUAAAUAAUUUCAUUUCAUCCUCAUAACAACGCUCGUGUUAGGUAUUAUCGUCGUGGGACAAAUGAGACAUCCAAGGCUCUGAAAAUUUUAAUAAUUCGCCCCAGGUCAUGCAAAUUUUAAAUUGACAGAGUUGGAUUUGUGGACUCCAAUAUCGAGUCCAAAGAGAGAAGUGGAAAUAAUGCUUCUCAAAUUUUUCUUCAUGGAUUAAGAACAGGAACGUAUGAAAUGGUUUCAAAUCUUCUAUUUUAUCUUUAAAAGUCAUAUCUAGAAGUAGAUUUUAAAAAGUUUCUUUUGUAUAGCACAGGGAACUAUGUUCAAUGUCUUGUAAUAACCUUUAAUGGAAAAAAUUAUUAAAACAAAUAUAUGUAUGUAUAUGCAUGACUGGGACUUUGUGCUGUAUACCAGAGAUUGACACAUUGUAAUUGACUGUACUUUAAUUAAAACAAAAAGUCAUAUGGAUUUAUUUUCAUUCCAGUCA